CCGCUAUGAUCGGGCCAGGCCGGGCUGGGCCAUUAAACAAGCAUUUGUGUUUUUUUAAUCAUUACUUUAUUAGCCUUAUUCGGUGGGGAGCAAGUUAUGCCUCUCCAGCUUCUCCCGUAGCUCUGGGUGUAUGUCCUGCACUGACUUGAGUAUGAGGAAAACUGUGCUACAUCGCGUCUCCUCCAUCUGCAGCACUGUUGUCUGACAGUGCUUCAGCA